rnacentral:rRNA from 1 species
GACGAACGCUGGCGGCGUGCUUAACACAUGCAAGUCGAACGGGCCUUGUCCCCUUUUUUUUUGGGGGUGGGGUUAGUGGCGAACGGGUGAGUAACACGUGAGUAACCCGCCCCUCACUUCUGGAUAACCGCUUGAAAGGGUGGCUAAUAGGGGGUGUUUUGGCCUGCUCGCAUGGGUGGGUUUGGAAAGAUUCGACGGGUCUUGGUUGUUUUGGCGGGGGGUGGGCUCGCGGCCUAUCAGUUUGUUGGUGGGGUGGUGGCCUGCCAUGGCUUUGACGGGUGGCCGGCCUGGGAGGGUGGGCGGUCACACUGAGACUGAGACACGGCCCAGACUCCUACGGGAGGCAGCAGUGGGGAAUAUUGCACAAUGGGCGCAAGCCUGAUGCAGCGACGCCGCGUGAGGGAUGGAGGCCUUCGGGUUGUGAACCUCUUUCGCCAGUGAAGAAGGUCCUGCUCUUUGUGGUGGGGUUGACGGUAGCUGGGUUAAUGAAGCGCCGGCUAACUACGUG